rnacentral:lncRNA from 1 species
UCAGAAUGAAGAUUGUUCACCACACCUGGCAUUUAUGAUGGCAAGGAAGAUUAAUUGUUCACAAGCCAAUUUGAUGAGUGUUAGAUUUUUGGCUUUAUAUAUUAUUAGAGCUCUCCCUUCUGAGAGAUAUCUCAUUAAAUUUGAGUAGAGCUCUCCCAAUAACUGCAAGCUUUCAUUUGUUUGUAAAAUCAUCUUCUUAUAUUGAUUGUGUUUCCUUGUGUUAUCGGGUAGAGUAUCAUCUUCAAGGGUUUCAAAAAGUCUUUGCAGUAAAGUUUCAACCAAUUGCUGUGAAGAGGCAUAUUCAUUUGAGUAAUUCAGUUUCAGAUUUUCAGGGCGUGUGUGUUUAAUUAGUUUUGAUUAAAAUAUUUAGUCACUCAUUCUGAAUCUUUUCUAAUUUUCAAGUUCCUUAGGGCCACAGCCAGUUUUUCAGGUCUGCAGAAACUAUCUUGAGUGUUGAGGAAUUGCGUUUGAGCACACACAGAAACAAGGCUAAUGGAAAAGAACUUGACAGAAGAAUUAUGCUCUAAAUCUAACAAAAGUAUAUUUCUACUUCUUGUGGUUAUUUUACUUUUGUAUUUUCUGUCAUCAUAUUUGAUUAAUUCAUUCGAAUUCAGACUCUCAUUAUUUAAAACCAUUUUCAGGUGGCUUGCACGCUAAUUAAGUUAAUGCAGAAGCUAUACUCUAGACAAAGAUGAGCAAAUUGAAGAUGAUAAAUACAUAUAUGGUGGCCAAGUCGCUCAUUACAUUUCAUCUCUCAUACGAACAUGAUUCUGAAUUUGAAUUUCGAUCAAUAAUAGUCAGGCUGGUGCAGAUAUUCUUAAAAGGGCAUUAAGCUACCUUAUGAAAUUGGAAAGUUAUCAUUGCUUGAAUGAAAGCACCAUCUUCUGUUGUCAAGGCUUUCCCCACACGAUGAGAUUCUGUGCUUGUUAUCGGCCACUUAAUUAUUUAUUAAAUCAGGUUUUUGUUAUCAAGUACAUCAUCUUAUUCACCAUUUUGGCUAUAUAUAAAGAUUAAAAUUUCUAACAGUUGUUUCGGAUUCUUGUGUACUCAGGUUAAUAUAGCAAAUGUCAUAAUGAAGAUUGGUCAGUGCAACCGGUAUAGCAAGGAUGAUAGUGGUGAGGAAGAUUGUUGGCAAGUCAAAUAGAGCCCUCCAUUUUGAGAAAUAUCAUCCUCAAAUUUGAGUUGUUGAGCAUGUGAAGUGAAGCUAUAGCCUUAAUAAUGAGACCUUCCUGUGAAAGUUUCAUUUGAGUGAAUUGAACGUUCUUAGUGGGUAAGAAAUUAAGUUCCCAGCUUGUUUAAAUGCUGUGUAAUUUUUACCCAAGAUUAUGCAAUUGACUUAUGCAAUUCACUUACAGUGUUCUGAGUACUUGAGUUUCAGAUUUCCAAGAUGUGUAAUUUUAGUUGCCAUUGAAAUAUUUAGUCGCUCAUUCUUAAAAAUCUGUUCUAAUUUUCCUGUUAUUUUGGGCCAUAAACAGUUUAACAAGUCUGCAUGUGGUUUCUAAAGAUUGAUGGUUAUGAUAUAUAUUGUGAGGUAUGAAAUAUUAAUUUGCUAUAAAUAUGUGUACAAAUUUUUCCUAUUACAUGGGGACUGAAAUUGUAACUUGCAGGGUCAAAAGAAAUCUUAAUUUGCUUAAGUGUCUGCAUUUGUGUACAAAGGAAAAAUAAGAAAUUCUGCUACGUGGGGACCGAAAUUUUAAUUGGCAGGGUCUUCAUCAAAUGUUUGUUAUCAAUACUGAUCCCGGAAUGUGUGGAACACGGUGAAAAGUUUUUCAUAGUUUUGUGAAGAAGGCUGAUUUAUCUGAUUCAUAGAAUUGUUAAAAGGGCAUCGGGCGGGGGACAAAAGAAGUGUUGAAAUUAAAAAGGUUAAUGGUUAAAGCAUGCAGUUUCUGUUGCAUUUGCAUUGGCCUGGGUUUAGGGAACUGUCAGAACUUUCAGAAGAAGAUGGAGUUUCUCAAACCAAAUCUAAGAAGAUAUCUCACAUUCCCCACAUGGUCUCAACGCACAGGUAAGUUCUUCUCUAGCUCUGUUUUUCAUUGUUUGUUUUAUCUAUUUUUAAUUCACAUGUCCACAGUAAUUUCAUUUUAGUUUGAGCUGAGUGAUGACUUUUCAAGGCUCACUUACUCAUUGGGAGAAGCUGCAGGACGCAGGCUGCAAGGAUUUAGAUUUUCAUUCGAAGGCUCACUUGCUCAUUAGCUUGUGCAAUUCCUGUUAAGAGGCACAUCCAUUCGAAGUAAUUCAAUUUUAUAUUUUCAUAGUGUGCGUGUUUCGUUGCGAUUAAAAUGAUUAGUCUCUCGUUCUUAAUGUUUUCUAAUUUUCCGGUUAUUUAGGGCCAUAAACAUUUUCCAAGUACUGCAUGUGGCUGCCAAAGAUUGAUGAUGAUAAUUAUAUCUUGAGGCCUGUGUCUUGCUUUUGAGCACUCGCAGAAACAGAGCUCAAGGGAAAGAAAUUGGAAGAUGCUCUAAAUAUAAUGAAAGUAUAUUUCUACUUGUGGUCAAUUUACAUUUGUUUCUUGUGUCAUUAUGCAGAUUAAUUUAUUCAAAUUUUUCCUAUCUCAUUCAUUUAUUUUAGACAAAGUUUGAAAAAAAAUUAUAAGUAUACAAUUUCCAAUGGAUUUGAUAGAGCGGUCAUCAACCAUAUUGAUGUUAUUGGAGUAGCACUGUUCUUAAGCACUGCUUUGAGGUCUCUCCCUCUCUAUAUACAUUGAUAGACUAUUCUGGUCGUACCAAAUUAUCCUUGUUUUAAUGUUUUGUUUGUUAAACUUUGACUGGGGGAAUCUGUUUAUUUGUCUGAUAUGAUGUUAGUGUGGUUUCUAUUGAAGUGUGUUAGAUCUAUCACCAAUUAUUAUUUCAAUUUUUCUUACCAAAUCGACUUGCAUACUUUCCAAGUCUAGAUCCUUAACAAUAGUGAGACUACGCUACAGAAGUACGAUUUCUCUAGUUUUGUAGUUAAAUACGUUAGAAUGGUUUUAAAUUAACAGAACUUUGAGAUAGUUCUCUGAGGAAAUACAAGUGGUGAAUAUGGUUCCAACUUUUAAGUGCCUUAAUAUUCCCAUUUGUUCAGCCCUGUGCGUAAACAAUUAGUAAUUUCUGUCCAAAUUCUUCUUUAAUGCCUAUAUGUGUUGGACUUUGUCUAUUGUUCAACUUCUCAAAUGGAUUCCAUGCAGGGUUCUUAAUGUCCAAUUAGGAGAAAGAUCAAGGCUUGCUUGGCUAGGAGUGGAAGCGGAUCCACUACUUCAGUCAGAUGACCUUUUGAAGAAGGCUUGCAACAGGCCGUCUCAGGAUGUCAAUGGCUCAACUCAAAAGUCCUCAAAGUGGCUGAUAUCAAAGAAUGCCAUUGUCUCUGGGCUUGGGCUCCUUGGCAUCAAACAAGGGAAUGUCGACUCUGUUGAAGGGGAAGCAAGGUGUUGAUGCGGGAUUCCGGUUCUCCUCGUUCUACGACCAGGAUCUCUGCUCGAUCAACUUCAUCACGACCAGGAGGUCUCCUCGUAAGGCUUCUUCUCCAGAGGUUCCUGCGCACACAGACAAGUCAGAGUACGCCGGUUGUUUUCCCGGCGCAAACCCUCCGACGCUCAAGUCAGAUAUCAAGGUUCGAGGAACGUUUGCCACAGAUCUUAUGGCUUUUUCGUGGUUUUCUCUCUUUUUAAUUUCUUUUCUAAAAAAAUGCCAACCCUUUUACCUCGUUGGCUACCUUUUUAUAGGCUUCCUCUGAAUCCCAGUUUUCUGCUUUUUUCGAGACGGUAUGGGACUCUGACUGCUGCGUUAUGGGCAAACGUGGGAUCUUGCGUGUUACGCCACGGUCCUGGGGAAAGCGUGGCUGUCGUGGUUCUGUGAGAUCUUGCGUGUUACGCCACGGUUCUGGGGGAAGCGCGGCUGUCGUGGUUCUGUGAGAUCUUGCGUGUUACGCCACGGUUCUGGGGGAAGCGCGGCUGUUGUGCCUAGAUUCUCGGGCUGGAGAGCAUGUCUUGCCAACUGUCGUUGACCGGAUCUCCUCGCCUCUCGACCUCUAGCCGGAAUGGCCUUAUGCCUCUUACAGGAAAUUGGCCUCGCGGAUGACGUGCUCGUGGACGAGCAGGAUAUUUCUGCUCCUGUUCCCCCGCGCGCCAGGCUCUUACGGAACACACCGGUUCGCAGAACUAUGCCACCAGAUAUCUGCUCACCAUGCCUGGUCUCGUCGACGUAUUUCUCCCAAACACCGGUCCCCCAGUUUCUGGUGUUGGGCAAUGUAGUGGACCAGCAGUAGAAACUCGAUAGUACUCGCUCGCGUGGGAUUGGAAAAGGCUGCCAAGAGUCAUGUCGCAUUUAAUUGCGGACGAGGUGACGUGGCAGAAAUCCCCCCCCCCCUCCAUUUGAAUUUCAAACCGACGGUUAUGAGACCCUCGGGAUUCGGCGCUGUUAAAUGCUGGCAACCUAAGAGUCCGUCCUCAGUAGGAAAACCAAAUCCUCUCGAACGGCAUAUUCGCCAUUCACUCCGUCUCCGUCUCUGUCUCUCCGGCAAAGAAGUUCCGGCAUAAAGGUCCUCCAUCUCUGAUUUUCACCGACUGAACCAUUACUUCAGGUAUUUCUUCUAUCUCCUUGGUCUCGGAUAGUUGUAGAUAAUUUCUCUUCUCUUCUGUUUGGGGUAGUAGUUGGUGGUGUUGUGGUUAGAGCUUAGGGAAUGUCGAAAGGCAAGGAGAAGGUCAUUGAGGUUGAUGACGACGAGUUGGACUUCCUGCCUAGUCUGCUCACCGAUCCUGCUUUUGACCCCGGGAUCCCUUUAGAGCCCAUUAGGUCUAGUGUCGGGACUAGUGCUAGGAGGAUGUCUCCCCAAACAACCUCUACGAGCGGAAGUAAUGGUGAGGAGAGAUCUUCUGGCUCCGAGGAUACUUUGAGUGAGGAUGGCGAAGGUGAUUCUGGUGAGGUGUCUCCAUCUGGAACGUCACGACCAGAAGGACGGGGUACAGUAGGGGGUAGAGCCUUGUUGCGUGAUUAUGCCAUCGACUAUAUGACGUGCACGACCACGUUUGACGAGCUCGAUGACCUCCGUCUUAGGUACAGCAUUCCUGGUGAAAUACUUCUCAAGGUCCCAGGCAAGAAGGAUACCCCUAGCUGGCCUCCUAGGGGAUAUGUUACCCUGUAUCUGGAUAGCUUUAAGUAUGGGCUUAGGUGUCCCUUGCAACCUUACUUUGCCCGGAUACUUAGCGGGUUGAAUCUAUCUCCUGGUCAGUUGAACCCAAACGGUUGGAGAGUGCUCUCUGGUCUGUUCAUACUGUGGGACAGAUGUUGCCAAAGCGAGCCCACGGUCGACGAGGUGAUGCACCUGUACCAGCUGAAAAGCAGCCCAAAAGAUGCCGGCUGGUAUUACUUCCAAUCAAGUACCAAGACCAGGAAACCCAUAACCGAUCUCCCUACUGGUGGUGGUGGGAAUUGGAAGAGGAAGUUCUUCUUCGCAGGGGGUCCCUGGGGUCAAGUUGCACGGGUUGAUGGGGAAGACUUCCGCGUCCCACCCCGUUUCGUGGUCCCAGGUUGCCUGCUCGUAUUAGAUGUCUUGUCUCCCUUGUCGUUUGCGCUUUACUGGUUUGUCUCUAAUCAAAUGUUUGUUUGUGUUGCAGGUUCUUGGGGUGUCCACUUCCCGCUUGAACCUGACCAGCUCAAACGGGUCGAGGCUGUACUAGCCAAUUCCUGCUCAAGCCGAGAACUGUUAACUACAUACAACUUGCUCGAGUCUCGCUUGAUACUUCCUGGCCAUAGGAUGGAGGACGCUGUGAUUGGGGCUCUGACCCGAAAACGUUCUUGACCUCCAACCACGAAAAGGGACCAGAGUAAGGAUGCCCCUGCUGCGAAGCGGGCCAACAUCGUGCAGCAGGUCCCAUCCUUGAAGAUUUUACCUCCUGCUCCUGUAAAAGUCGGGGAAGCUAGUGGAGCAGCCACAGAUCCUGCUUCCUCUUCUCCUCCUGUCGGGCCUCGAUCUCGCUUACCUGACAGCCGAGCAGAACACCUGGUCCCCUACCUCAAUGAGUUAUCUAAACUCGUGAGCAAGAAGGACCUGGAGGACUUUGACGGCUGCACCUUGGGUGAGCUGGUGGGGGCCAUGCAGCAUAGCGCUUUCCACCUCAGCUGCAUGACCACCUAUUACAAGGCUAAGAUUGGCCGCUACGACCGGAAGAUGAAGGAGGAUAUUCAAUCGGCGACGACCAGAGCUGACGUUGCCGAGCAGAAAGCAGGGGAGCUGAAUCUCGAGAAUCUGAAGCUGAUAGAGCAAGAAUCACUUGCUCAAGCAAAAGCCAUUACCCUCGAGGAGGAGCUUACCAAGGUCAAGGAGGAUCUGCAAAGGCAGAAGGCUAUGUAUGAGGCUCAGCUCGAAUCUCUCCACGACUCCCACCGAGCUCAGGUCGAGAAUUUGGAGAGGGAGGCCGACAACCAGUACGACCAGGGACUUCGGCAUUCCUAUCGUUGCAUCAUGGCCGUCCUCGGGAAGCAACACCCUGAUCUGAAGAUGGAUGACCUUGCAGCUGGUGUUGCUCAACAUACGGACGAGGAGGCGGCCAAGGAAGAUGCCGAAAGGGUAGAGCCGAUUGUGAUUGAGGAGGAAAACUAUCCUCCUCGUGCAGUCCCUGCUGAUGUUGGCGAGGCGAGCACCCCCCCUGACGCAACUGGUGAUACCCCUCCUGCACCUGAGGAGGUCCAACCAACCGAUGCUGCUGGGCUUACUGAUCCACCAUCUUCUUGAUAUAUUUCUUAUAUUGUAAUGAACAAUGUUUAUGGAGAUUAUCCCCUCUGUUAAUUAUUAACAAAUUAAUAAAAAUGUUUUUUGAUUACUUUCUUGUGUUGUAAUUAUGAAUUAAUUUUCGUUUGAGAAUCUGCUCGUCUUUGUCUAGACGAGCAGGUUCCGGCUUGGCUCAUGGUUUUGUGCCACAUGCCUUUGAAGAUUCUUCAAUGCCUGGGUUUCGGCUCGCAUUCGCGCGGUCAAGCAGAUCCUGGUACGCUUGACUUCUAUCUCGCUAUAAAACAGGCUUUGAGACUUGGUGAGCCUUUACAUGCCUUGGGAAUUUCUUCGAAUGCUUUGGAGUCUGCUCGCCUUCUCGUGGUCGAGCAGAUCCUGGCAUGCGUGGCUUCUGUCUCGCCAUAAGACAGGCUUUGAGACUUGACGGGCCUUUGCAUGCCUUGGAUAAUUUCUUCAACGCUUGGGAUUCUGCUUGGCUUCUCGUGGCCAAGCAGAUCCUGGCAUGCUUGGCUUCUGUCUCGCCAUAAGACAGGCUUUGAGACUUUGUCGAGCCUUUGCAUGCCUUGGAUAAUUUCUUCAAAGCUUGGGAUUCUGCUAGCCUUCUCGUGGCCGAACAGAUCCUGGCAUGCUUGGCUUCUGUCUCGCCAUAAGACAGGCUUUGAGACUUUGUUGAGCCUUUGCAUGCCUUGGAUUCUUCGAGGAUUGGGAUUCUGCUCGCCUUCUCGUGGCCGAGCAGAUCCUGGCAUGCUUGGCUUCUGUCUCGCCAUAAGACAGGCUUUGAGACUUUGUUGAGCCUUUGCAUGCCUUUGAUUCUUCGAGGAUUGGGAUUCUGCUCGCCUUCUCGUGGCCGAGCAGAUCCUGGCAUGCUUGGCUUCUGUCUCGCCAUAAGAAAGGCUUUGAGACUUUGUUGAGCCUUUGCAUGCCUUUGAUUCUUCGAGGAUUGGGAUUCUGCUCGCCUUCUCGUGGCCGAGCAGAUCCUGGCAUGCUUGGCUUCUGUCUCGCCAUAAGACAGGCUUUGAGACUUGACGGGCCUUUGCAUGCCUUGGAUAAUUUCUUCAAAGCUUGGGAUUCUGCUAGCCUUCUCGUGGCCGAGCAGAUCCUGGCAUGCUUGGCUUCUGUCUCGCCAUAAGACAGGCUUUGAGACUUUGUCGAGCCUUUGCAUGCCUUGGAUAAUUUCUUCAAAGCUUGGGAUUCUGCUAGCCUUCUCGUGGCCGAACAGAUCCUGGCAUGCUUGGCUUCUGUCUCACCAUAAGACAGGCUUUGAGACAUUGUUGAGCCUUUGCAUGCCUUGGAUUCUUCGAGGAUUGGGAUUCUGCUCGCCUUCUCGUGGCCGAGCAGAUCCUGGCAUGCUUGGCUUCUGUCUCGCCAUAAGACAGGCUUUGAGACUUUGUUGAGCCUUUGCAUGCCUUUGAUUCUUCGAGGAUUGGGAUUCUGCUCGCCUUCUCGUGGCCGAGUAGAUCCUGGCAUGCUUGGCUUCUGUCUCGCCAUAAGACAGGCUUUGAGACUUUGUUGAGCCUUUGCAUGCCUUUGAUUCUUCGAGGAUUGGGAUUCUGCUCGCCUUCUCGUGGCCGAGCAGAUCCUGGCAUGCUUGGCUUCUGUCUCGCCAUAAGACAGGCUUUGAGACUUGACGGGCCUUUGCAUGCCUUGGAUAAUUUCUUCAAAGCUUGGGAUUCUGCUAGCCUUCUCGUGGCCGAGCAGAUCCUGGCAUGCUUGGCUUCUGUCUCGCCAUAAGACAGGCUUUGAGACUUUGUUGAGCCUUUGCAUGCCUUGGAUUCUUCGAGGAUUGGGAUUCUGCUCGCCUUCUCGUGGCCGAGCAGAUCCUGGCAUGCUUGGCUUCUGUCUCGCCAUAAGACAGGCUUUGAGACUUUGUUGAGCCUUUGCAUGCCUUUGAUUCUUCGAGGAUUGGGAUUCUGCUCGCCUUCUCGUGGCCGAGCAGAUCCUGGCAUGCUUGGCUUCUGUCCCGCCAUAAAACAGGCUUUGAGACUUGACGGGCCUUUGCAUGCCUUGGAUAAUUUCUUCAACGCUUGGGAUUCUGCUUGGCUUCUCGUGGCCGAGCAGAUCCUGGCAUGCUUGGCUUCUGUCUCGCCAUAAGACAGGCUUUGAGACUUUGUCGAGCCUUUGCAUGCCUUUGGGAACUUUCUCGGUCUCAAGCGAAAGAAAUUCUUCGACGUUCCAUUAAUGGCAGGAUUCGACUUACAUGAAAUUGUUUGGACAUAAAACGUGAAAGAUAAAUGAUAAUGAACAUGAGCAAAAAUAGCUUUCAAAUGUGAACAAGUCUUACUGGAAGUAUUUUCGGAGGUGUGCUGCGUUCCAUGGGCGUUUCACCUCGUGGCCGUCCGUGCGAACCAGCUUGUAAGCUCCGGGUCCCGCUAUCUGCUUGACUCUAUAUGGCCCUUCCCAAUUCGGUCCCAGUACUCCUUGAGUCGAAUCUUUGGUGCUCUGAUUCACUCUUCUCAGUACCCAGUCUCCGAAUUGCCGUAUGUUCACCUUCUGGUUAUAGUACCGAGCAACCCUCUGUUGGUAAAUGACUGAUCGCUCGGCUGCUUGCUCCCUCCUUUCCGUUAGCAGAUCAAGAUUCAAACAUAUCUGCUCGUCGUUCUCCUGCUCAUUGAAAUGAUUUGUCCGGUGUGUGGUCGUUCCUAUCUCAGCCGGCACGACCGCUUCAUGUCCGAAAGCCAAAGCGAACGGUGUCUCCCCAGUUGCGGUUUUGUGGGUUGUUCUGUAUGCCCAUAGCACACAUGGCAGCUCGUCAACCCACGCACCCUUUUUUGCUCCAAGCCUGGUUUUCAGAAGCCUCUUGAUGGUCUUGUUGGCUGCUUCUACUUGUCCAUUUGAUUGAGGGUGAGCAGGCGAGCAAUACUUCAGCUCUAUCCCGAGGUUCUGGCAGAAAUCCCUGAAGCUGUGAUUAUCGAACUGCCUGCCAUUAUCCGUUACCAAGGCAUAAGGGAUCCCGUAUCGACAGACCAGGUUUCUCCACACGAAGUCUGUUGUUUUCUUCUCUGUGAUCCUGCUAAGGGCUUCUACCUCAAUCCACUUCGUGAAGUAAUCUAUAGCAACUAUUGCAUGUGUUGCUGCUCCUCGUGCCUUUGGCAAUGGGCCGAUCAGAUCAAUUCCCCAUUGAGCAAAUGGCCAGGGGGAGGUCAUGGAGGUGAGUUUCUCUGGUGGUUGGUUAGAGAAAUUUGCAAAACUCUGGCAGCUUACACAACUCCUGGUCUUCUCUUGCGCAUCCUGGUGCAUUGUCGGCCAGAAAUAUCCCUGCCUUAGAACCUUGUGGGCCAGGGACCUCCCGCCAGAAUGAUUUCCGCAGAUUCCUUCAUGUACUUCUCUCAGUACGUAAUCCGCGUCGUCCUCAUCCAAACACCGAAGGAACGGUAGUGUAUAUCCUCGCCGAUACAGUACCCCAUCAAUCAUCGUGUAUCUCGAGGCCUGGGCUCUAAUCUUGCGAGCUCGCAGCUUAUCUGGUGGUAAUACCCCGUCUCUAAGGUACGAAACUAUCGGGUCCCUCCACGAGCAUUUUUGUUCUAUCCGCAACACCCCCAAAUUCUGAUCGAUACUUGGGCUGGACUUCACCUCCAGAGGGACCGACUUUGGCAUUUUUGGGUCGGCUACUGCUGCCAUCCUAGCCAAAAUGUCUGCUCGACUAUUCUGCUCCCUGGGGAUUUGUAUCACCUCCACUGCUUCGAACUUCCCCAUCAUCUGCCUGACUAUCUUCAGGUACUGCUCCAUCUUUUCCUCUCUUGGUUGGAAUCUUUCACUGACAUGAUUCGCAACCAGCUGGGAAUCAGUUCUGAUCUUACCUCUGUCUGCUUUCACGGCCUUAGCCAAUUCCAGACCUGCUAUCAAGGCUUCAUACUCUGCCUGGUUAUUCGUGGCUGCAAAUUCCAACUUUACAGCAUAAGAGAUCUCCUCCCCCUCUGGGCCUUCCAAGACAAUCCCUGCUCCUGAACCCCGCUCCCCUGAUGACCUGUCCACAGACAUCUGCCAUACUUGAGUUUCGUCAUUGCUUAUAACUGCAUCUUGUUGAUCUAAGCAUACUUCGGGCUCUGUGAAUUCAGCUACGAAAUCGGCCAUUGCCUGGGCUUUUAUCGCUGCGCGAGGUUUAUAGUCUAUGUCGAACUCGCUCAGCUCUACAGCCCACUUGACGAGCCGACCAGAAGCAUCUGGCUUGUGCAGAGUUUGACGCAAUGGCUGGUUUGUUAUUACCGAGACCGAGAAUGCUUGAAAAUAUGGCCUCAACUUCCGAGCAGCAACCACAAGGGCAAGUGCCCAUUUCUCCAACGGUGGGUAUCUGGUCUCAGUGUCGAGCAGGGCCUUGCUAGUGUAGUAUAUCGGAUGCUGAACUCCUUCUUCCUCUCUCACCAGAACAGAACUGGUGGCCCGAUCCGAUACCGCCAAAUACAGAUACAACUUGUCCCCAUCCCUCGGUGUGGACAGCAGCGGAGCUUGCUGCAAGUAUUGCUUCAAGUUCCGGAAGGCUUCCUCGCAUUCCGGGGUCCAUUCUGUUUUCUUUCCCCUCCUUAUCACUUGAAAGAAUGGCUGACACUUAUCUGUAGCCUUGGAUAUGAAUCUGCUCAACGCCGCCAACCUCCCCGUGAGGCUCUGCAUCUCCUUCAGGUUACGAGGAGACGUCAUUUACACAAUCGCCUGGAUUUUCUCGGGAUUUGCUUCAAUCCCCCUAUGGCUCACCAUGAAUCCAAGGAAUUUCCCUGACUCGACCCCAAAAGCACACUUUUCCGGGUUGAGCUUCAUCUUAUACUUCCUCAAAAGCUCGAAUGUCUCCUCGAGGUGUCUGACAUGUUCCUCCGGGAUUUUGGACUUGGUGAUCAUGUCAUCCACGUACACCUCCAUGGUUUUCCCAAUCAACGGCUUAAAGACUUUGUUCACCAACCUUUGAUAGGUGGCCCCAGCAUUUUUGAGACCGAAUGGCAUUACCCUGUAACAGAACAAACCUUGGUUAGUGAUGAAAGCCGUGCUCUCCUCAUCCUGCUCGUACAUGGGGAUCUGGUUGUAUCCCGAGAACGCGUCCAUGAAGCUAAGCAGACCAUGUCCAGCCGUUGAAUCCACUAACUGAUCGAUCUUUGGUAAAGGGAAGCUGUCUUUUGGGCACGCCUUAUUGAGGUCUGUGAAAUCCACACACAUCCUCCACUUGCCAUUCGCCUUCUUUACCAACACCACAUUCGAUAUCCACUCGGGAUAAUUGACUUCCCGAAUGAAUCCUGCUCUCAAGAGCUUUUCUACCUCGCCAUUUAUAGCCUCAUACCUCUCCUGGUUGAAGCACCUCCUCUUUUGCCUUACUGCCCGAGCACCUUUCUUUAUUGCCAGCUUAUGACAUGCUACCUCAGGGUCAAUCCCCGGCAUGUCUUCAUGUGUCCAAGCAAACACAUCAGCAUGAGCCUGUAAGCAUUUCACCAACUCCUGCUUUUGCUCUCUCUUAAGUCUCGACCCGAUUCUGAUCGUCUUUCCCGGGUUCUCUGGUCCUAGGCUUACUGUUUCCAGAUCCUCUACAGGUUCUUGUCUGCCCUUCUUGUUUUCCACUCGGGUAUCGAGGGAUGUUAUCUGCAUUGCUUCCCUUGCUGCCGAGGAGUAGCAGCUUCUUGCGAUCCUCUGGUCUCCUCGUACCACUCCUACUACCCCAUUCACCCGGUACUUCAGAGCCAGAUAAUGGUUGGACAACACCGCUUUGCUCAUCCGUAAAAAUGGCCGACCUAGGAUCAUCUGGUAAGGACCUUCCUCAUCCACUACGACAAAGUCCAGUAUCAUUGUUCUUUCUGUCGGGGAGCUCCCAAUUGUGAUAGGCAGCUCGACCACGCCCAGAGGGACCAGCUUCCCUCCUCCGAACCCCUUCAAGGAGGUAUUCCUGUAUUCCAACUUCCGGUUGGCUAUUCCCAUCUCUUCCAGGGUUGACUUAAAUAACACAUCAACUGAGCUCCCUGUAUCAAUCAGGAUCCGGUCAAACUUCUUGCUAGCGACAGUAGCCUUGAUGACUAAAGCAUCCUCGUGGGGGUAUAGAAUCCCUUCCUCAUCCUCAUCCGUCCACAUGAUUGGCACUUGCCUGACCCUUGCUCGUUUGGCUGCUGGGGUGUUGAAGAGUACCUCUUUACUGGUCAUGGCGUACCUAGCAUAAUUUUUUCUCGAUCUGUUGGAAUCUCCGGCCAAUGUUGGGCCCCCAGCUAUCACCCUUACUGCGGGCUGCUCGCGCCUCAAGUUUCUACCACUCUGCUCCCCUUCACCUGUUGUGGCCACCAUCGGGAAAGUCCCAUCCAUAAACUCGUCCAGGUACCGAUUUCUCACCAAAUCUUCGACCUGGGUCUUGAGAUCUCUACACUCUGCUGUGGUAUGGCCAUGGGUGCCAUGGAACUUACAAUAACGUCCUCUAUCCCUCCUGUUGGGUAGCUUUGUUAUUGGUGUAGGGAGGUGCAGCAGCCCUCGAUCCUUUAUGGCCUCGUACACCUCAUCCAGGGACAUCUUCAAGGAAGUGUACCGCCCAUAGUCCGGGUUCUGGUCGAUCAGGCGCACUGCUCUUUCUCUGUUUGCCCCGCUCUGAGUUGGGGGCAGUGGGAGUACUUCUGGUCCGCUCGCUCUGCUACCGUGGGGAUGUUGAUGAAGACCACCAGAUGCCGACUCAUGCCUUCUCCAAGGCUCCCUAGCUGGGGAACGAGGAGGUUGCGCCCUGCUGCGCUGAUACUGUGGUGGCCUCUGAUGAGGCUGGUAUGCAGUUACCCGACCUCCUGCUCCACUACCGGAGGCCUGGUGGUCCCUCCUCCUGAUCGGCCCAUUCCCCGGUAAUGCUUUCUUCUCUUUCCUCCCCAACCCUUCUAACUGGUCUGUCUUAAUCCGUGCAGCCUUCUCCUCUUCAAUCUCGAUGUCUCUCUUAGCCUGUUCGUAUGCGGCUGCAUACGUUAUAAUAGCUGGGCUUCUUAAAUUGUACCACAGCCUUCCUAUCUUCACCCCUUCUUUCAAUCCCCUUAACGCCUGAGGGUGGUUGAAGGCUCCCAAGUCGAGGACAGCCCGAUGAAACCUCUUGAUGAAUUCCCGAAGGGUUUCUUGCUCCCCCUGUUUCAUGCUUUUCAGCUCCAUCAUGUCAUCUUCCGGUGCCAUUGCCCCACAAAACUGCUCCGCGAAUUCCUGACACAUCUGCUCGAAGGUUUUAAUGCUGCCCCGAGGAAGUUUUCUGUACCAUUCUCGUGCACGUCCCUCAAGGGAUAGUGGGAACACCCUGCACCUUUGGGAUUGGGAUAAUCCUUGUACCCCAGUUAUGUCGUUGAAGCGCUCUAUGUGCACCAGCGGAUCUGUUCUUCCUGAGUAUCUGAGGUCUGGGAGGCGGAAAUCUCUCGGAAUAACUGCCCUCAUGAUCUCUGCUGCGAGCGGUGAUUCUCCGUCCAGCAUUAUCCUCCAACCAGGGGCUCUGUUCCUUCCUUGCAUGUCGUCAAUUAUCUGUGCUAGUCUGCGCACUUCCUCCUCCAGCUGCACUGCACGACCAGGGUCACGUGCUGCAACUUGAUCCCGUUCUUGCUCUACAUCAUGCAAGUGUUGCCUCAACUCUGUUUCCUCUGCAUUCACCACCCCGUCGUCCUCGUCACCAGUCUGUCUUACCGGGGACUGCUCUCUUUCUCUAUGAAAUUCUCCCCGCAGAGGUACGUUACCUCUCUCACCACCAAAUCUCCCGGUGGUUUGACUUCUCCCCGCACUAUCGGGACCUGGUGCCACUCCACCGCCUCUCACCCUUCCCUCUUGGGUUACCCUUCGCUCGCUCCGCAGCUCAUGCAGGAUGGUUGUCAAGGUCUCCAUCUGCUUUUCCAUCCGUUCCAUCCGGUCGAACAUGACUUUUUCCCGUGCUUCACUGACUAUCUCCCUCAGCGUCACGGAAUCGUUAAGCCUCCUAUCACCCCCUUGUGCACUACUUCCUCCUGUCUCCAUCGCUUUUUACUUGCUUCGCCCCUCUUCUUGCUAUCAACAGAAGCUUUUUGCUUUCUCCCCACAGACGGCGCCAAAAUGUUGAUGCAGGAUUCCGGUUCUCCUCGUUCUACGACCAGGAUCUCUGCUCGAUCAACUUCAUCACGACCAGGAGGUCUCCUCGUAAGGCUUCUUCUCCAGAGGUUCCUGCGCACACAGACAAGUCAGAGUACGCCGGUUGUUUUCCCGGCGCAAACCCUUCGACGCUCAAGUCAGAUAUCAAGAUUCGGGGAACGUUUGCCACAGAUCUUAUGGCUUUUUCGUGGUUUUCUCUCUUUUUAAUUUCUUUUCUAAAAAAAUGCCAACCCUUUUACCUCGUUGGCUACCUUUUUAUAGGCUUCCUCUGAAUCCCAGUUUUCCGCUUUUUUCGAGACGGUAUGGGACUCUGACUGCUGCGUUAUGGGCAAACGUGGGAUCUUGCGUGUUACGCCACGGUCCUGGGGAAAGCGUGGCUGUCGUGGUUCUGUGAGAUCUUGCGUGUUACGCUACGGUUCUGGGGGAAGCGCGGCUGUCGUGGUUCUGUGAGAUCUUGCGUGUUACGCCACGGUUCUGGGGGAAGCGCGGCUAUUGUGCCUAGAUUCUCGGGCUGGAGAGCAUGUCUUGCCAACUGUCGUUGACCGGAUCUCCUCGCCUCUCGACCUCUAGCCGGAAUGGCCUUAUGCCUCUUACAGGAAAUUGGCCUCGCGGAUGACGUGCUCGUGGACGAGCAGGAUAUUUCUGCUCCUGUUCCCCCGCGCGCCAGGCUCUUACGGAACACACCGGUUCGCAGAACUAUGCCACCAGAUAUCUGCUCACCAUGCCUGGUCUCGUCGACGUAUUUCUCCCAAACACAAGGGCUCCUAAAGUUCGAAGAAAGAGAAUAGUCCGGAAGAAGGUGAUCGCAUAAAUUUCUUGGGAGUUAAUCCUAGUCAAUAGCCCAAUUUUGCUGCCUGUCGAAGAGAUACAACACGGAAGUCCUCAUCAAACUCUUUUGAGACAUCUAAGAACUAGUAGGGAGGUGGUGGUAUUUCACCGUGUUUCCUGGCAAGUAUAGUUCACUGAUAGAGGGAUUCUUUUCUUGAUGUCUAAAUACUAUAUGUGAUACAACGUCGUAUAUUCCAAUUUUUCUCCAGUUAAAUUAUAGUAAGUUAGAAAAGUUAAUUUUGUUCUAGCGAUGAAUUGUUUUCUUAAUAAUAAUAAUGGCCUGUUGCUUUGGAAUCUUAUUCACUCUCUGUAACCCAAUUAAAUUGUGCAAAUUCUACUGCAGAUUUGUCAAACAGAGUGUCUCUGUGAUUGUUUUGAUACACCUUUUAAUUACUAGAUUGUACUCGAGUUCCUAUUUAUUACUACUGUGUUGUAGUUAUAGUUAUUGUGAAAAAGGAACUGAAACUAUAAUAUAAAUGUUGAUCUUCUGUUGUAUAUAUGAUUUUUAAAUAAUAAUUUUGACAAAAUUAAUAAAUGUAUCAUUGAUUUUUUUAUACUCCCAACUUAAUUUUUAAGUCACCAUAAUAAAUAUUUAUUAAAUACUUUGAUACUGUAACUUUAAAACUAUGCUCCGCGGCACUCUUAUCUAAUUUUAAUUGUACUUUAUAGCUCGAUUAUAGAAAUCCUUACUCGAUGUACUUUACCAUACAAGAUGUUAGUUUACUUAAUCUUACUCGACUUUAAUUGCAUAUUUUAUAACGAAAUUUUUGUCAAAAAAUUGGUCCCGAUUCCAGCAAAACAGUAACUUCCAUUCAAAAGGGUUCCACGUUGAGUGCAUGUAAUCUGCACCAAGUUUGAGAAGAAAUAACCAAAAAAAAAAAGAAACCCGCGUCCAAAGAGGCCGUCAUUGAAUUCAAAAAUUAUGAUCCAAAAUCCAAAAAUAGAAGAAGAAUUGGAAACAUAGUCGGAGUUUUAAAUUGAUAUGAGAAAAGAAUUUAUCAUUUUUUUAACAAAAUUUAAGCUAAGACGAAAAAAUAUGCCUAAAACACCCCUCACAUUAUCCCAAACUUUCGAAACUCCCCCAUUCCUCUGACCAUCAUCUCUCCCAAAUCAAUCUUCCCCCAAAACCAGCCAUGGCUUCAAAUUCAAUCAGCUUAACACUCCAAUAUUGCUUGUAAGCCACCCACAAGUCCUCAACUUCAUAUGGACUCAAGACCAAACCCUAGCUUCCUUCCCACACAUCCUCAUUCACUCCAUCAUUACUUACCUCUCCCUCACAUCCAUCCUUUACCACACAUCAACAUCAACAUCACCAUCACCAUCAUCAUCACCUCUCAUUGGACCCCACAUCCUCAGACCCAUCACAGCCAUCCAUAACAUUUUUCAUUUUGAUGCUGUAUGAUCAUUUUACGGGAUUUGGUUUCCCUGGGUUUUGGGGUUGGUGCUUCAAUACUGUGUUUAAUGCUUCCCUUUUGGCCCUUUUUGUUAAUUUUCAUUACAAGAGCUAUGCUAAGAAAAAGAAGCAGGGAUGAUCAAAACAACUAGUAGUUAUCCUUGUUUUGUGUUUUCUUUUUUAAUUUAUCUCUAUCAUUGCCAUUGACAGAGAUGUUUCCAGUUGCCUAAACUUUGUUUUUUCAAUUUUGGUACUACGUGUAAUUUGUCACCACAUUUGUUUAGUCUCUCCCUUUUAAAUUCCCUCUCGCACACAAAAAAUUCGGAUUUGUAUUUUGUAGACUAAUAUUUUUCAUUUUGUUAAUGAAUUAACUAUUAUUAUCUACAUUAAUGUGAUGGAACACAAGCCACAUCAACUAGAAUUAGAUUAUGAAUUUUUGCAGCCCCAGCAAAAAACAUUUAUGAAAGAUGUUUAGGUAAGGAUUAUUUUGGUAUUCUAAAGAGUAGAAUAAAAAUUAAUGUUCAAAAUAUUAGAACAUAUAUAUUCCCAGCCUUAAUAAAAUUUUGCGACAUGAAAUGUACAAAGUUAGAAAUAUAGAAUGCAUAUUAGUACAUGUCAAUAACAAGACCAAUUAGAUUAUGGCAUUACUUUAUUUUAUUUAUUUAUUUUUUUUAUUCUUUUGAAACAAGAUCAAUUAAUUAGAUCAUGCUAGAAGUUAAAUUGUUUUUUUUCAAAUGAAAAAGGAGCAGUCAUACAAAGUUUGAAUAUAAAAUUUAUAAUCUAAAAUUAAUGAUGUGACAAUUAACAUGUUAUUAACCUAUCUAAUAGAGUAGGAAGUCCCAAAUACAUCAUAUUCUGCUCCCGAAAUCAAUUCCACCUAGAAUACUUCUUUCUAUUGAAAUUAAUGAUGAUUUGUUUGUUUGCAUCAUGAAAGUCAAAAAUAAUUUUGUGAGUAAUUUGAUUCUUUACGGUACAAAAAAUAAAUUCGGAAAGUACUAAUUUCUGUCAUACUUUUCGGGCUAAAAAAUAAAUGUAAGUCUAUCAUAUUUAUUAUUUAAUGGUUUUAUAUCAAUCAUCUGUAUGUAUUUUUCUUGGGAGAAGCUCAAUUAAUUUCUCUCAUACUUUUUGAUCUGAUCCAAUUCUAGCCUAAUCAACCUGAAACCCAUUCAAGUUGAUAUGAACACAAAUUUGCCCACUCCGGAGAUUGUGACCCUACAAACUUUGAAAAAUUUUGAGGUUUCGAAGUAAAACAUUAAAAAUUAGAUAUAAAAAGACUGAUUUGACCCCUAAGCACUUGAUGUAUAAACUUUAUACAUAUAAUAGAAAUUUAAUUUAUAUUUUGUAAAAUAAAAUCAAGUAAACUCGAUUUUUUUUUGUUAAUUAUUUUUUCAUUAUGACAAAAUGAAAAAUAGCCUUUUAUUAAAAUUUUUAUAAAUAAUCGGGCCUAAGUCUUUGAUUUUUAUUUUGUUAAUUAUUUUUUAGUUUUACUUGCAACAGUAAGUUCAAUUAUGAAUCAAAGUCGGCAAAUCAAAAUCGCUGCAGCCUGUAGCCACAAGCAAAAUUCUCAAAUUUCGAAAUUCCUAACGACUACAUAAUAACUAUAAAUAGAAUAACAGUCUAAAAUUAAUCCCCAACUAACAUUUUAAGUGAAGUUGGGCCUUCCGAAGAUUUACCCCAUAUGGAACAAAAUAUUAGUUUUGCUACUAAAAUUGCGAACUACGUUUUUCUUUGUAUUUUCCGCUCAAGGAUGAAGAAAUUUCACUCAACUGUUGUGCUGAAUAUCUUGCGAACAUAUGACAAUUUAAGACCCGUUUGGGGCAGCUGCGCGGUGGUCCUUAAUCUUUGGCUGAGACUUGUUUAAAAUAAAAAAUGACACUUUAAAGCAAUAGGAGAGUUUUAUAUAUCAAAAUGGUAAACGGAUGGAGAAAACUCAAAAUAAUUUUUUUAACUUUUUAUCUAUUUUGACAUUCGAAUUUUAAACUCGAGAAGUCAAGCAAUGAAUAAACCUUUUUGAGGGGCUAAUUAAAUUCUUAGUAAUUUCACAUAAUUUUAUUUCAUCAGAACAGUUUUAUCAAAAGCAAUUUUAUAAAUCGUUGUUGAAAGAUUUAUUCCUUAAUUAUCUUUCACAUAUUUUUUUGGUAAUAUGAGGUAAGUCAUAGACCAUAGUAUGAUAUUUAUUAAAUAUCAAAAUUAAUAUGAUAUUUAUUAAAUAUCAAAAUUAAUUAGACAUGUCUUUAUAAUAAGACAUCAUUUAUUUUGAAAUUGUUCCAGCACUAAGAUUAUUCUAGAUCAAAUUAAUCUAUUAUAUAUAACUUCAGAAGAUUUCUCGGUGGAUUGCUUUAAGGUUUUACAGGAGCUGAUGCUGAGUAGUCUGAAUAAUUAUUAUGAAUCAUAGAAACGGGGCAGAUGCUGUUAAAUUAUUGAGGUGGUGGAGCAGAUGCUCAGUAGUCUGAAUAAUAAUGAUGAAUCGGAAAAAUAGGGCAGAUGCUGUACAAUUAUUGAGGUGGUGGAGCAGAUGCUCAGUAGUUUGAAUAAUUAUUAUGAAUCGGACAAACAGGGCAGAUGCUGUACAAUUAUUGACGUGGUUGAACAGAAAGCUAGCCCCAGACGGUAACUCCUGUGGGGACUCCUUUAAUUUUGCAUCACAAAAGAACGUUCACACUGACAUUGACUCACGGGUAAAAAUUAAAUAUCUCAUAUGGUAUAAGAAGAAUGCAAACAUGCUUGAAUCAACAUUCUCACAGAAUACAUAAAACCUACUUUCCUCUGAGCAUUUUAUCAAGAAAAGCAAUUGCUGCAUUUACCAUUUGAUCUAAUAUCAGAAUGGUUGAUGCGAUCGUUUCCGCUCUCCUGGAGCAGCUGAUCUCUGUUGCGGCUGAUGAAGUGAAACAGCAGGUGAGGCUUGUGACUGGUGUCCGAGAAGAGGUGAAAAAGCUUACCAGCAAUCUUCGAGCCAUUCGAGCUGUGCUGGAAGAUGCAGAGAAAAGGCAAAUGCAGCGCAACAAUGCUGUUACUUUUUGGCUGGAUCAGCUCAAAGACGCAUCUUACGACAUGGAAGACGUGUUGGAGGAGUGGACCACUGCAAGGCUCACAUUGCAGAUUGAGGGCGUUGAUGAUGACACUGCUCUUGCUCUUGCUCCUCAUAAGAAGAAGGUACGCUCCUUCUUUUGUGCUGCAUCAAACUGCUUUGGUAGUUUCAAACAACUUAGUCUUCGUCAUGACAUUGCCGUCAAGAUUAGGGAAAUCAAUGGAAAGCUAGAUGAUAUUGCCUCCCAAAAAGAUACGUUUAAAUUUGUUGAGAAUGUGAGCAACAAUGUUAGGGAACCAGAGCUAGUGGGAACCACCUCCUUCAUUGAUGAGGGAAAGGUUUGUGGUAGAGUUGAUGAGAAAAAUGAGCUCUUAAGCAAAUUGUUGUGUGAAAGUAGUGAACAACAAGAAGGCCUUCAUGUCAUCUCACUAGUUGGGUUAGGGGGUAUAGGUAAAACCACUCUUGCACAACUGGCCUAUAAUAAUGAUGAGGUGAAAAGAAAUUUUGAAAAAGUUAUAUGGGUGUGUGUAUCAGACACUUUUGAGGAGAUUAGGGUUGCGAAAGCAAUCAUUGGAGGUCUAGGUGAGUCAACUUCUAGUUUAAGUGAAUUCCAAUCUCUUAUGAGCCAUAUCCAUCGAUCAAUUGAAGGAAAAAAGUUUUUUCUUGUUUUAGAUGAUGUAUGGGAUGGGAAUUACAAUAAAUGGGAACCAUUCUUCCUUUGUCUAAAGAAUGGUCACCAUAGAAGUAAAAUUUUAGUUACCACACGUAAUGAGUCAGUUGCACGUAUGAUGAGAUCAACAAAUAUUAUCUCCAUUAAGCAAUUGGCUGAAGAGGAAUGCUGGUCAUUGUUCGAGCAGUUAGCAUUUUUCAGUCGUUCUCUUGAGGAUCGUGAAAAAUUAGAACCAAUGGGGCGAAAAAUUGCACACAAGUGCAAAGGCUUGCCUCUUGCUGCAAAGGUAAUAGGGAAUCUUUUGUGCUCUAAAAGUACAGAAAAAGAGUGGCAAAGUAUUUUAGAGAGUGAAAUGUGGAAAGUAGAAGAGAUUGGGCAAGGUCUUUUGGCUCCUUUGUUGUUGAGUUAUAACGAUUUACCCUCCAAUUCUGUGGUAAAACGGUGUUUCUCAUAUUGUGCUGUCUUUCCAAAAGACUACAAUAUGGAUAAAGAGGAAUUGAUUAAUCUGUGGAUGGCUCAAGGUUACCUUAAUGCAGAAGAAGACGAAGAGAUGGAGAUGAUUGGGGAAAAGUGUUUCAACAUUUUAGCAGCACGCUCUUUCUUUCAAGAAUUUCAGAAAAAUGACGAUGAUGAUAUUCUGAGGUGUAAGAUGCAUGACAUAGUACAUGAUUUUGCCCAAUUUAUAAGUAGAAAAGAAUGUUUGUGGCUAGAAAUAAAUGGUACCAAAGAAACAGUCAUAAACUCUUUUGGUGACAAAGUCCGUCACUUAAGGUUAAAGUUUCAAGGAGGAGCUUCAUUUCCUAUGUCCUUUUUUGAAUUUGAUAGAUUGCGUACCCUCUUAAUUUAUGAUGAAAGUCUUUCCAAUACAUCUUUAUUUGAUGAUGAAAGUCCUUCCAAUCCAUCUCUUAAUAGUAGCAUCCUUCGGAAGUUAUUUAGUAAAUUGGCGUGUUUAAGGGCAUUAGUUAUAAGACAACUGUCCCCACCUUUUUGUCCUAAUCACCCAAAUUUGAUUAGAGAAAUUCCAGAAAAUGUUGGAAAAUUGAUACAUUUAAAAUAUCUUAAUUUGUCUAGACUGUGUAUAAAGAGACUGCCUGAGACUUUGUGUGAAUUAUAUAAUUUACAAAAGCUAGAUAUUAGGCGGUGCCGAAAUCUUAGAGAAUUGCCAGCGGGGAUUGGGAAGUUAAUGAACAUGAGGAGUUUACUGAAUGAUAAAACUCGUUCUUUGAAGUACAUGCCAGUAGGGAUUUCCAAAUUAACCAGUCUUCGAACAUUAGGCAAGUUUGUGGUGGGUGGAGGUGUUGAUGGUAGCAAUACGUGUAGGCUUGAAUCUCUGAAAAAUCUUCAACUCCUUCGAGAAUGUGGAAUAGAAGGGCUGGGUAAUGUAUCCCAUUUAGAUGAGGCCGAGAGAUUAGGACUUCACAAUAUGGAAAACCUCCUUCGUUUGCGUCUUGUGUUUGAUGGAGUCGUAGAUCUUGUGUUUGAUGGAGUCGUAGAUGGGGAAGAUGAAGAAAGGAGGAGGAGGAAUGAGAAAGACAAACAACUUCUUGAAGCUUUACAACCGCCUUUGAGUGUAGAGAAAUUAUGGAUUGUAUCCUACGGAGGCAACAUUCUUCCCAAAUGGUUGACUUUGCUAACCAAUCUAAGGGAUUUAAGCCUUUCCUCGUGCGUUAACUGUGAGCAUUUGCCUCCUUUGGGAAAAUUGCCUCUGGAAAAACUCACAAUUAACAACUUGAAAAGUGUAAAAAGAGUGGGUAAUGAGUUUUUGGGAAUAGAAGAAAGCAGUGAGGACGACCCAUCUUCAUCUUCAUCGUCAUCAUCAGUUAUUGCCUUCCCCAAAUUGAAAUCUCUCAAUAUUGAGGAAUUUGAUGAAGUGGAAGAGUGGAAUUACAGGAUUACGAGGACGGAAAACAUCUCCAUCAUGCCACGUCUUUCUUCCUUGACGAUUUCUUCUUGCAACAAAUUAAAGGCGCUGCCGGAUUACAUUCUUCAAACGACGGCACUGCAGGAACUGAGUAUAUAUUUUUGUGAUCUUCUAGAAGAACUGCCCAUUCUAGAAGAUCACAGGACAACAGCCAUACCACGUCUUUCUUCCUUGGAAAUUAGUUGUUGCCCCAAAUUAAAGGUGCUGCCGGAUUACCUUCUUCGGACGACGACGCUGCAGAAAUUGACAAUUUGGGGAUGUCCCCUUUUGGAAAACCGUUAUAGAGAGGGGAAAGGAGAAGACUGGCAUAAGAUAUCUCACAUUCCCCACAUCAAGUGGUCGCUGUUGCCGCCGGUAAUUUCUCCUCCUCCUCUGAUUUACUUCGUUGUUGCUUGCAAUGAAAUUAAUAAAAAUAAUUAUAUUUUGACUUAAAAUUUUAUAUAAAAUCAAUCAUGGUAUAAAUAUGAAAAACUUCCUAGUUAUCAAAUCUGUUAAACUUGUUUUCUAAAGAUUAAAUAAUAAAAAAAUACAAGUGUAGUCUGUUGAAAUUUCUAUAUUUAUUUACUUUUAAAAAAUAUGUGCUCUUUUGUAAAAGUUCAUACAAUAUCAUAGAAAUGUUAUGUGUAACUUCCUGAGAGACAAAAUCUCUGUGAUACAUUUGCAGUAAUGUUGAAAACUAAAUGUCAUUAGCCCACCUUGUUUUAUUUCAUACGAGUUUAAUUAUGUUCACCAGGGAUUCGAGGAAAUGUCAGAACUACACUAGCAAUUCGCAGGUCCACGCUAAUUUGGUUCUAAUGAUGCACGCAGGAGAGCAAGACUAUGAAAAUGAAAAGUUUAGCCAAAGGAUUGCUAAAAUGUUCUGCUGGUAAUUCACUUGCUUUAUUUUAUAGAAUUCAUUUCCAUCUUCUUCUAUUGAUAUCUUGUUGUGAAUAACAAGAACAGAGAAGUAAAGAUAUAUCAAAAUUUACUAUUGCGAUGAUGCUAAAGCAAGCUCAAGCUCAAGCAUUGCAUUUUUAUUUUAUUUAAUUUAUAGAAUUUUCAUUUCCACCUGCAUUGCAUUUUUAUUUAUUUUUAGGUUGACUUUGAAUACUUCAUGGUGAACAUUGGGGUGACCAAGGAUUAGGCUGGCAGUGGAACGACUACCACUGUGGUUAUUGUGCGACUUUGAAGAAGAAAGUGAUGGCUGGGUCUGCUCUGUUUCUAUCUUUUUUCAUUCUUUGAUCGGUUUAUCCUACAUAAACAUAUGGAAUUAUGCUAAUAUUAUCAAUUUUUUCACCCAAUUUUCAUUGUUGGUUGUGAUAAAAAUUUCAGGCUCUCAAAAGCUACAAAGCAAAGCAUUUGUGGGCUGAUCAUAUGUUUCAAUUGAGGAAGGAGUUUGGUGUUGGCAAUAUUGUCCAGGUAACCACAGCUGAUAAUUUCCACAAAUUUGCAUUGUCAGAACACACUUUAAUGUUCAUUGUGUUCCUAUGUGUUAUCAGGUUAUUGUGGUAUGUAAAGUAUCAUCUUUAAGGAUUUGUAAGAGACUUCGCAGUAAACUUAGUUGGCACCAGCUCGUGCAAUUCCUCAUUCAUUCAAGAGUACUUCAAAAUUAGAUUUUCAAGGUUUGUAUGUUUAGUUGCGAGCAAAAUGUUUAGUCACACAUUCGUAAUCUUUUCUGAUUUUCAAGUUCUUUAGGGCCAUAAACAGUUUUCCAACUCAUUCUUAAUUUUUAGGUUGAUUUCGAGUACCCUGUUGAGGACAUUCUUGAGACCAAGGAUUAGGCUGGCGAACAAACUACUACCUCUGUUGUUAUAGUGCAGGGUUUGAUCAUUGGACCUUGAAUAAGAAUGCCUUACACACACUCUGUAAUUCAAGCAUUCUCUAAGGAAAAGAGCAGUCGAAGGGAUAGUGAUGGCCGGAUCUGCUCUAUUUUAGUUGAAGAUCUCUGUGAUGUCGAUGAACUUAAAGCAGUUGAUACUUCUUGAAAAUUGUUAUUACGGAUGAAAUUGAUUACAGGAGACGGGUAUCCAAAGGCGGAUUUUCAUAAACUUCCUUCUUUAACAAAUGUUCCAACGCUUGCUGUAGUAACAAUUUCAUAGCUUGUAUCUCUCGGGUGCAUCAUGUUCACGGGUUGGAAAAAGCAUUUGUGGUAAAGCUUCAAAGCUUGUAAAAUGGCUGUGAAAAGGCACAUUCAAUUCGGUAUGCUUUGGUGCGGUCUCCUAAUGCUAAUAUUAUAUUUUGUAUAGCAAUCUUAAUAUGCAAAAAAUCAUUGUGUCCAAAGUUUUCUAUUUAUUAUAUGGUGACUGAAAUUUUAAUUAUCAUAUCAAUCUUAAAAAUUUUUGUAACCCUAUUUUACUUUGCUUGUACAGAAUACCUGUUUUCGCUGAUAUGUCGAAUUCCCAGAAAUUCAUUUCCAUCGGUUUCCAUUGGUUUUAGCACAAACAGAAACAUAGAGCACUGGGAAAAAGUUUUACUUUUGGUGGUAUUAUGCCUUAUUUUCUUCAUUCAUCAUAUUUGUUUCGAAUUCAUGCUCUCAUUAAGAGAGUAAAGCCUUUUCCAGGCUGCUUUGUAGCCAAAUUUUGAUGCCAUCGAUGCGUGAUUGUCAUUUAGAUUUUCGAAAUAAUUGUCAGAUUGGAGACGAAUCAGAAGAUAUUGUUCAAAGGGUAUUUAAUUAGCACCCUCUGAAUUUAGUUGCCAAUAAUGCAUUGAAAUGGUUGGGGAAAGUUAUUGUCUUAAUUAAAUUACAGGUGAUAAGAUGCUGCUUCAAUUUUGCAAGCAUCUUGUACUGCAAAGAUUCUGCCCACAUGAGAUGCUGUGAUUCUUGACAUCAGGAUAACACAGGUCAAAUUUUAGUAUCAAUAUAUAUCAUCUUCUUUACUGUUCUGCCUCUAAAUAUUAAACUUUAAGCAAGUUGUUUUUGUUUGUGUAAGUUAUCAGGUUAAGGAUACUAAGCCGCUUAUUAAGGCAAAUGUCAGAAUGAAGAUUGUUCACCACACCUGGUAUGCAUGAUGGCCAGUAAGAUUAAUUGUUCACAAGCCAAUUUGAUCAGUGUUAGAUUUUUUGCCUCCUUUCGAGGGUCAUCAUCAUCAAAUUUGAGUAGAGAAUCUUUGAAGGGAAUUUUGUUGUAAGAGUUUCACAGUAGUGAAUUCUGGGAGCUCGAACUCACUUGAGUGAGAUAUUAGGGAGUGUUGGGGAUUUGGGUUAUGAGUAAUCAUUAUCCUUCCAAUAUGUGUAAGCACUCACUUGUUAGUAAAAUCAUCUUCGUAUAUUGACUAUGUUUCUUUGAGUAAUUCAGUUUCAGAUUUUCAGGGCAUGUAUGUUUAAUUAGUUUUGAUUAAAAUAUUUAGUCACUCAUUCUGAAUCUUUUCUAAUUUUCAAGUUCCUUAGGGCCACAACCAGUUUUCAGGGUCUGCAGAAACUAUCUUGAGGGUUGAGGAAUUGCGUUUGAGCACACACAGAAACAAGGCUAAUGGAAAAGAACUUGACAGAAGAAUUAUGCUCUAAAUCUAACAAAAGUAUAUUUCUACUUCUUGUGGUUAUUUUACUUUUGUAUUUUCUGUCAUCAUAUUUGAUUAAUUCAUUCGAAUUCAGACUCUCAUUAUUUAAAACCAUUUUCAGGUGGCUUGCACGCUAAUUAAGUUAACGCAGAAGCAAUACUCUAGACAAAGAUGAGCAAAUUGAAGAUGAUAAAUGCAUAUAUAGUGGCCAAGUCGCUCAUUACAUUUCAUCUCUCAUACGAACAUGAUUCUGAAUUUGAAUUUCCAUCAAUAAUUGUCAGGCUGGUGCAGAUGUUCUUAAAAGGGCAUUAAGCUACCUUAUGAGAUUGGAAAGUUAUCAUUGCUUGAAUGAAAGCACCAUCUUCUGUUGUCAAGGCUUUCCCCCACACGAUGAGAUUCUGUGCUUGUUAUCGGCCGCUUAGUUAUUUAUUAAAUCAGGUUUUUGUUAUCAUGUUCAACAUCUUAUUCACCAUUUUGGCUAUAUAUAAAGAUUAAAAUUUCUAACAGUUGUUUCGGAUUCUUGUGUACUCAGGUUAAUAUGGCAAAUGUCAGAAUGAAGAUUGUUCAGUGCAACCGGUAUAGCAAGGAUGAUAGUGGUGAGGAAGAUUGUUGGCAAGCCAAAUAGAGCCCUCCAUUUUGAGAAAUAUCAUCCUCAAAUUUGAAUUGUUGAGCAUGUGAAGUGAAGCUAAAGCCUUAAUAAUGAGACCUUCCUGUGAAAGUUUCAUUUGAGUGAAUUGAACGUCCUUAGUGGGUGAGAAAUUAAGCAUAUAUCAGCGAUUACUGAAUGUUUUUCUUUAACAUUAGUACACUCUUAUUUCUUAGUAAAAUUCUCUUCACGUCUCUGACUGUGACGUAGACCAAAAGCUGAACAAUGUAAAAUUAUAUUGUUAUUUCCUUAUGCUUGUUUUGCUAUAUAUCAUUUUUGUGCAAUAAAGAAUGUAAUUUUGUAAUUAUUUAACUCUGCUUCUGCGAACAUGCGGUAUUACAAGUGGCAUCUUGCAGAUUUUUUUCCCCUUUUUUUCUUUCUGCAUUAAAACUGCAACAAAUGGAAGUGACUGGCUUGAUUUUAGCUAAUGUAAAAAAGUGCUUGGGGCAAUGUCUUUUGUAUCAGCAAGUCAUCAAACAUCAUAGUUUAAAUAUAGAAUCCUGAGUUGCCGUAUAUUGACAAAGCUAACCGUCUGUGGGCUGAAAUGCUUCCACGGAUCAGGAAGGAAUUUGGGGUUGACACUAAAUGUUAUGCAGAUAACUACAGUUGAUAAUUUUUACCCAAAAUAUGUCACAGUUGACAAUUCACUUACAGUGUUUCCUUGUGUUAUCAGGCUCUCAUAUGUGAAUUGAAAGAUUAAGAAAAAGCAUUUGCACUAAAUUUCAAUUUUAAAGUUCCCAG